UACGUAGGGGGCGAGCGUUGUCCGGAGUUACUGGGCGUAAAGCGCACGCAGGCGGUUUCGUACGUCUGGAGUGACAGUUCCCGGCUCAACUGGGAAAGGUCUUCGGAAACGGCGAGACUUGAGGGCUUCAGAGGGACACGGAAUUCCGGGUGGAGUAGUGAAAUGCGUAGAGAUCCGGAGGAACACCAAUGGCGAAGGCAGUGUCCUGGGAAGCAUCUGACGCUCAGGUGCGAAAGCUAGGGGAGCGAACAGG
rnacentral:rRNA from 1 species